rnacentral:lncRNA from 1 species
CAACCCCGACUCCUCCUCUCACCAGUACCACCAUCAACCUCACUCCCACAACUCUUCCUCCGCCGCCACUGCCACUUACUACGACAAUCUUCUUCCUAAUUCCUCCGAUGACUUCACCGACAACCUCUACGUCCCCGUAAGCACUCUCACACUCCUUAUUAAUUCGACACCUAAAUAUGUUUUUUUUAUUUACUCAAUUCAUCUAAAAGUUGAAGGAAAUCCUGGCAAUAACUGCUAAAGUUAUUGUCACGUGACUUUUUCGAGUUCAACAUGAUAACAGUCUGCUAUAGAAAUGGAGGAUAGGACCGCGUAAAAUAUAUAGACCUUAUACACUUUUAUUAAGUAGAAUUUUCUCUUGUAUCAUAUAAGAUACACUUUUAUUUACUUCAUUAUUAAUUAUAUGCUUAACACGGACUAGCUUACAUCAAUUAUUGAGCAAUUUUACUGUAUUUUAAAAUCAAUUUCUUCCUGCUUUUUCAUUGCAGAGUGAUGAUGUAGCGGAGUUAGAAUGGCUAUCGAACUUUGUAGAAGAUUCAUUCAGCAAUUUUUCAGCCAAUUCCAUUACCGGAACGAUGAAUCUCAGUUCCAAUACUACGUCGUUUCACGGAAGGUCAAGAAGCAAACGUUCUCGUUCAACUUCAAGCUGGACAACCUCACUCCAAAACCCUAACACAACUACUACUACAAAGAACAAGGAGAGUUCAUCAGUACAUACCAGAGAAAGGUCAUUUUCGCCAAUGGAUGAAGAUGCACCAAGGAGAUGCACACACUGCGCUU